UACGAAGGGGGCUAGCGUUGUUCGGAUUUACUGGGCGUAAAGGGCGCGUAGGCGGCGUGACAAGUCACUUGUGAAAUCUCCGGGCUUAACCCGGAGCGGCCAAGUGAUACUGUCGUGCUAGAGUGCGGAAGGGGCUACUGGAAUUCUCGGUGUAGCGGUGAAAUGCGUAGAUAUCGAGAGGAACACCUGCGGCGAAGGCGGGUAGCUGGGCCGACACUGACGCUGAGGCGCGAAAGCCAGGGGAGGCGAACGGGG
rnacentral:rRNA from 1 species